AUUGAACGCUGGCGGAAUGCUUUACACAUGCAAGUCGAGCGGCAGCGCGGCCUUCGGGCUGGCGGCGAGCGGCGAACGGGUGAGUAAUGCAUCGGAACAUGCCCAGUCGUGGGGGAUAACACUUCGAAAGAAGUGCUAAUACCGCAUACGUCCUGAGGGGGAAAGCGGGGGAUCGCAAGACCUCGCGCGAUUGGAGUGGCCGAUGUCCGAUUAGCUAGUUGGUGGGGUAAAGGCCUACCAAGGCGACGAUCUGUAGCUGGUCUGAGAGGAUGAUCAGCCACACUGGAACUGAGACACGGGCCCGACUCCUACGGGAGGCAGCAGUGGGGAAUUUUGGACAAUGGGGGCAAGCCUGAUCCAGCCAUUCCGCGUGGGUGAAGAAGGCCUUCGGGUUGUAAAGCCCUUUUGUUAGGAAAGAAAAGCUGGGGCUUAAUACACGGCUGUUAUGACGGUACCCGAAGAAGAAGCACCGGCUAACUACGUG
rnacentral:rRNA from 1 species